CAGACAGCCAGGAUGUUGGCUUAGAAGCAGCCAUCAUUUAAAGAAAGCGUAAUAGCUCACUGGUCGAGUCGGCCUGCGCGGAAGAUGUAACGGGGCUAAACCAUGCACCGAAGCUGCGGCAGCGACGUUUAUGCGUUGUUGGGUAGGGGAGCGUUCUGUAAGCCUGCGAAGGUGGCCUGUGAGGGUUGCUGGAGGUAUCAGAAGUGCGAAUGCUGACAUAAGUAACGAUAAAGCGGGUGAAAAGCCCGCUCGCCGGAAGACCAAGGGUUCCUGUCCAACGUUAAUCGGGGCAGGGUGAGUCGACCCCUAAGGCGAGGCCGAAAGGCGUAGUCGAUGGGAAACGGGUUAAUAUUCCCGUACUUGGUGUUACUGCGAAGGGGGGACGGAGAAGGCUAUGUUGGCCGGGCGACGGUUGUCCCGGUUUAAGCGUGUAGGCUGGUUUUCCAGGCAAAUCCGGAAAAUCAAGGCUGAGGCGUGACGACGAGGCACUACGGUGCUGAAGCAACAAAUGCCCUGCUUCCAGGAAAAGCCUCUAAGCAUCAGGUAACAUCAAAUCGUACCCCAAACCGACACAGGUGGUCAGGUAGAGAAUACCAAGGCGCUUGAGAGAACUCGGGUGAAGGAACUAGGCAAAAUGGUGCCGUAACUUCGGGAGAAGGCACGCUGACAUGUAGGUGAAGUGAUUUACUCAUGGAGCUGAAGUCAGUCGAAGAUACCAGCUGGCUGCAACUGUUUAUUAAAAACACAGCACUGUGCAAACACGAAAGUGGACGUAUACGGUGUGACGCCUGCCCGGUGCCGGAAGGUUAAUUGAUGGGGUCAGCGCAAGCGAAGCUCCUGAUCGAAGCCCCGGUAAACGGCGGCCGUAACUAUAACGGUCCUAAGGUAGCGAAAUUCCUUGUCGGGUAAGUUCCGACCUGCACGAAUGGCGUAAUGAUGGCCAGGCUGUCUCCACCCGAGACUCAGUGAAAUUGAACUCGCUGUGAAGAUGCAGUGUACCCGCGGCAAGACGGAAAGACCCCGUGAACCUUUACUAUAGCUUGACACUGAACAUUGAGCCUUGAUGUGUAGGAUAGGUGGGAGGCUUUGAAGCGUGGACGCCAGUCUGCGUGGAGCCGACCUUGAAAUACCACCCUUUAAUGUUUGAUGUUCUAACGUGGACCCGUAAUCCGGGUUGCGGACAGUGUCUGGUGGGUAGUUUGACUGGGGCGGUCUCCUCCUAAAGAGUAACGGAGGAGCACGAAGGUUGGCUAAUCCUGGUCGGACAUCAGGAGGUUAGUGCAAUGGCAUAAGCCAGCUUGACUGCGAGCGUGACGGCGCGAGCAGGUGCGAAAGCAGGUCAUAGUGAUCCGGUGGUUCUGAAUGGAAGGGCCAUCGCUCAACGGAUAAAAGGUACUCCGGGGAUAACAGGCUGAUACCGCCCAAGAGUUCAUAUCGACGGCGGUGUUUGGCACCUCGAUGUCGGCUCAUCACAUCCUGGGGCUGAAGUAGGUCCCAAGGGUAUGGCUGUUCGCCAUUUAAAGUGGUACGCGAGCUGGGUUUAGAACGUCGUGAGACAGUUCGGUCCCUAUCUGCCGUGGGCGCUGGAGAACUGAGGGGGGCUGCUCCUAGUACGAGAGGACCGGAGUGGACGCAUCACUGGUGUUCGGGUUGUCAUGCCAAUGGCACUGCCCGGUAGCUAAAUGCGGAAGAGAUAAGUGCUGAAAGCAUCUAAGCACGAAACUUGCCCCGA
rnacentral:rRNA from 1 species